ACAUCAAUGUUUAUAGCAGCUCAAGUCACAGUAGGUAAACUGUGGAACCAACCUAGAAGUCCUUCAAGAGCUAAAUCGAUAAAGAAAAUGAGGUAUAUGUGCACAAUGGAAUCUUAGCUUUAAAAGAGAAUAAAAUUAUGACACUUGCAGGUAAGUGGAUGGAGUUGGAGAAUAUUAUGUAAGUGAAAAAAGCUAAUCCUCAAAAAC
rnacentral:lncRNA from 1 species